AUUGAACGCUGGCGGCAGGCCUAACACAUGCAAGUCGAGCGGCAGCACAAGGGAGUUUACUCCUGAGGUGGCGAGCGGCGGACGGGUGAGUAAUGCCUAGGGAUCUGCCCAGUCGAGGGGGAUAACAGUUGGAAACGACUGCUAAUACCGCAUACGCCCUACGGGGGAAAGGAGGGGACCUUCGGGCCUUCCGCGAUUGGAUGAACCUAGGUGGGAUUAGCUAGUUGGUGAGGUAAUGGCUCACCAAGGCGACGAUCCCUAGCUGUUCUGAGAGGAUGAUCAGCCACACUGGGACUGAGACACGGCCCAGACUCCUACGGGAGGCAGCAGUGGGGAAUAUUGCACAAUGGGGGAAACCCUGAUGCAGCCAUGCCGCGUGUGUGAAGAAGGCCUUCGGGUUGUAAAGCACUUUCAGUAGGGAGGAAAGGGUGUAACUUAAUACGUUAUAUCUGUGACGUUACCUACAGAAGAAGGACCGGCUAACUCCGUGCCAGCAGCCGCGGUAAUACGGAGGGUCCGAGCGUUAAUCGGAAUUACUGGGCGUAAAGCGUGCGCAGGCGGUUUGUUAAGCGAGAUGUGAAAGCCCUGGGCUCAACCUAGGAAUAGCAUUUCGAACUGGCGAACUAUAGUCUUGUAGAGGGGGGUAGAAUUCCAGGUGUACGGUGAAAAUGCGUACAGUCUGGAGGAAAACCGGGUGGUGAAAA
rnacentral:rRNA from 1 species